AGGGCAGGCAUCGUCACGGGUUGUUCGAGCGAUCGAACCUAAGAGGGAAGCGGGUUCAAAUCCCGCGCUGCCCCCGCAACUGUGACCGGGGAGCUUUCGCCCGAUAUGCCACUGCUUGUUGGAGCGGGAAGGCGGGCGGCAAGCGAUGAUCCGGGAGCCAGGAGACCUGCCGGGUGACGGUCGCUUUUG
rnacentral:ncRNA from 1 species